UGACAAACCGGAGGAAGGUGGGGANGANGUCAAGUCCUUCAUGGCCCUUAUGGCCAGGGCUUCACACGUAAUACAAUGGUCGGUACAGAGAGUUGCCGACCCGCGAGGGGGAGCCAAUCUCAGAAAGCCGAUNGUAGUCCGGAUUGUAGUCUGCAACUNGACUACAUGAAGUCGGAAUCGCUAGUAAUCGCGGAUCAGCAUGUCGCGGUGAAUACGUUUCCCGGGCCUUGUACACACCGCCCGUCACACCAUGGGAGUGGGUUU
rnacentral:rRNA from 1 species